rnacentral:rRNA from 1 species
AACGAACGCUGGCGGCGUGCUUAACACAUGCAAGUCGAACGCAAAAGAGGUCUUCGGACCUCUCGAGAGUGGCGCACGGGUGAGUAACGCGUAGAUAAUCUACCUCUAUAUUUGGGAUAACAGCUCGAAAGGGCUGCUAAUACCGGAUACACUUUUUGGUACGCGAGUAUUGAAGAGGAAAGGUGACCUCUCCAUGGAAGUUACUGUAUAGAGAUGAGUCUGCGUACCAUUAGCUAGUAGGUAGGGUAAAGGCCUACCUAGGCGACGAUGGUUAGCGGGUCUGAGAGGAUGAUCCGCCACACUGGAACUGGAACACGGACCAGACUCCUACGGGAGGCGGCAGGGAGGAAUAUUGCGCAAUGGGGGAAACCCUGACGCAGCGACGCCGCGUGGGUGAAGAAGGCUUUCGGGUUGUAAAGCCCUGUCAGGUGGGAAGAAGUGUAUCAUGGCUAAUAUCCAUGGUAUUUGACGGUACCACCAAAGGAAGCACCGGCUAGCUCCGUGCCAGCAGCCGCCGUAACAC